CCGGAUACCCCGGGCUGCCGCAUGACACCCCGGCUAAAGCCCCGACGGGAGGGGAUGGCUCCGCGGCCCAUCAGGUAGACGGCGGGGUGACGGCCCACCGUGCCGACAACGGGUAGCCGGGUUGAGAGACCGACCGGCCAGAUUGGGACUGAGACACGGCCCAGACUCCUACGGGAGGCAGCAGUGGGGAAUCUUGCGCAAUGGGGGGAACCCUGACGCAGCGACGCCGCGUGCGGGACGGAGGCCUUCGGGUCGUAAACCGCUUUCAGCAGGGAAGAGUCAAGACUGUACCUGCAGAAGAAGCCCCGGCUAACUACGUGCCAGCAGCCGCGGUAAUACGUAGGGGGCGAGCGUUAUCCGGAUUCAUUGGGCGUAAAGCGCGCGUAGGCGGCCCGGCAGGCCGGGGGUCGAAGCGGGGGGCUCAACCCCCCGAAGCCCCCGGAACCUCCGCGGCUUGGGUCCGGUAGGGGAGGGUGGAACACCCGGUGUAGCGGUGGAAUGCGCAGAUAUCGGGUGGAACACCGGUGGCGAAGGCGGCCCUCUGGGCCGAGACCGACGCUGAGGCGCGAAAGCUGGGGGAGCGAACAGGAUUAGAUACCCUGGUAGUCCCAGCCGUAAACGAAGGGCGCUAGGUGUGGGGGGACGAUCCCCCCGUGCC
rnacentral:rRNA from 1 species